UGGGGAAUAUUGGACAAUGGGGGGAACCCUGAUCCAGCCAUGCCGCGUGUGUGAAGAAGGCCUUAUGGUUGUAAAGCACUUUAAGCGAGGAGGAGGGUACUGGUAUUAAUACUACCAGGUACUGGACGUUACUCGCAGAAUAAGCACCGGCUAACUCUGUGCCAGCAGCCGCGGUAAUACAGAGGGUGCGAGCGUUAAUCGGAUUUACUGGGCGUAAAGCGUGCGUAGGCGGCUAAUUGAGUCGGAUGUGAAAUCCCCGAGCUUAACUUGGGAAUUGCAUUCGAUACUGGUUAGCUAGAGUGUGGGAGAGGAUGGUAGAAUUCCAGGAGUAGCGGUGAAAUGCGUAGAGAUCUGGAGGAAUACCGAUGGCGAAGGCAGCCAUCUGGCCUAACACUGACGCUGAGGUACGAAAGCAUGGGGAGCAAACAGG
rnacentral:rRNA from 1 species